rnacentral:rRNA from 1 species
CAGCCGCCACGGUAAUACGAGGGGUCCUAGCGUUGCUCGGAAUCAUUGGGCGUAAAGCGGAUGUAGGCGGACAGCCAAGUCAGAUGUGAAAGCCCCGGGCUCAACCGGGGAGGGUCAUUGGAAACUGGGAAACUUGAGUGCAGAAGAGGAGAGUGGAAUUCCACGUGUAGCGGUGAAAUGCGUAGAGAUGUGGAGGAACACCAGUGGCGAAGGCGACUCUCUGGUCUGUAACUGACGCUGAGGAGCGAAAGCGUGGGGAGCGAACAGGAUUAGAGACCCCUGUAGUCCCUGUCUCUUAUAC